rnacentral:tRNA from 3 species
GAGCCUGUAGCUCAGCUGGUAGAGCACCUGACUUUUAAUCAGGGUGUCGUGGGUCCGAGUCCCACCAGGCUCA